CCUAGGUGAAAAAAUUCAAGGGAAAAGUGUGAAAAUUCAAGGAAACAAGUGAAAAAAAACGUAAAAUUUUUCAAUUAGACUUGAGAUCUUUCUUUCCCAUGCAUUUCUCCUUAUUUUCCAUGGUUAAAUUUCAUGAUGCCAGGGUGAAUUCAUGGCUAGCCAAAUGGGUAUGGAGAGAGAAAUGAUGUUGGAAUUGUUUGAUUUUGAGUUAUGUUAGUGAUUAAGGUUAGUUUAACAUAUUUAGAAGCAAAACAACAAGAAAAAAAUCCAUUUUCCCCAUGAAUCUUCAUUGGCCGAAUCUUCCUUGAUGUGUGUGGGUGAUCGAUUGUUAUUAUUUCAAGAGAAAUGGCUUAGAAAAUGAUGAAUAAUGGUGAGAAAAUUAAGUAGGAAAAAUCACGGUGUUAAUGAACCAUUAUUGAUUGAAAUUUUUAAGAAGAAAAGUGAAGAUGGUUUUGCCAAAUUUUAGGUUAUUUGACUUGUAUUUGGUGAAUUAAGGUAUUGAAAAAGAAAUGGAGCAAUUUGGAGCUAAAUAGGACGCGUUGGCCAAUUAAUCGGGUGAUAAGACGAAUUAGGCCAAUACAGGGGAUUAGAUGGUUACCAGUGCGUUUUGCAUUCCAUAUCAUGAAUUAGUAGUCUAAAUUAGUUUAAUUUUGAUUUAGUACCAAAGUAGUAAGUUUCUCGAUUUUGUACUAUGUCAAGGUGGUGAGUCCUCCGAUAAAGGCAAAGAAAUUGCUUCCGAGGACCAGUAGUCAGAGUACUUCGAAAAUUCGCACUCUAGACAUUGUGAGUAACCUUACCAUCAUUUUGAUUAUCUAAAGUAUGUUUUUAUUCGGUUUUGGUGAAAUUUUAUGAAAAUGAGUUUUAAUGGUAAAUCUUUAUGUUUAUAAACAAAAUGAGUUUAAACGAAAUGAUUUUAUAAAUUGUCUUGAAAUCGAAUGACGGUUUUGAAAAUAGAGUAAUUGGAGACCAUUGAUAUGUUGUAAAUUUAUGAUUUGAAUUGAUGGCUUAUGUUAAUGUGUUGGCAUGACUGACUAGGUUGUAUUUUUGUGAACUGUAUGAAUUGUUCUAUUUUACACUUGCAGGCUGGGUAGUAUUAUAUUAGUCAUGUCAUGCUGUCAAAAUUUUAUUGUAUGGUGGGUUUAGCUUGCUGCAGUGGGCGGGUUUCUGUGGACCAGCCUAUUAGAGGGGCACAGUAAACCUCUUUAUAUUUUACCUCGGUUGGAGAGGCUAGUAAGGUAACUCCCGAGGUAUAACUUUUAGAGUUUACUUCACGCCAAACCACCACGUGAGGGGGAACUCGGCCAACGCUAAGGAACGGCUAUAUUUUUAAA
rnacentral:lncRNA from 1 species